rnacentral:lncRNA from 1 species
GGCAUGUUUAGAAGAGAUGUUAAAAAGUCGGAAUUGUUUUUAUCUAACGUAAGAUUAUAAAAAAAAAAUGAGUCUUUCAUGUUUUGUUUUUUUUAAAUCAGCGUACGGUAUAAUAUUUAGACUCGUUUGGACUAAUUACGGGUGCUCAAUCCACUACAUAUGUUUUUAAACGACUUACACUUGUAUAUGUUAGCGGUAUGCUCUUUAUGUUACACGUUGUUAGCCAAUUAACAUCUGAAAUCAACCUGAACAUAAAAUCCUAUCCAAUUAUGUAAGAAAUAUAUUGACCACUAUACAAGAGCAAGACAAAAACACAAAACAAAUCAUUAUUUCAAUUGCAAGUUCAACAUACCCU